GAUUACCUCAGUAACGGCGAGUGAAGCGGUAACAGCUCAAAUUUGAAAUCUGGCAGCAAUGUCCGAGUUGUAAUUUGUAGAGGAUGUUUCGAGCAUGGUCUGGCCUAAGUUCCUUGGAACAGGACGUCAUAGAGGGUGAGAAUCCCGUAUGCGGUCAGGUGCCUACGCUCAUGUGAAACUCCUUCGACGAGUCGAGUUGUUUGGGAAUGCAGCUCAAAAUGGGUGGUAAAUUUCAUCUAAAGCUAAAUAUUGGCCAGAGACCGAUAGCGCACAAGUAGAGUGAUCGAAAGAUGAAAAGCACUUUGGAAAGAGAGUUAAACAGUACGUGAAAUUGUUGAAAGGGAAGCGCUUGCAACCAGACUUGCACGCAGCUGAUCAUCCGCUGUUCUCAGUGGUGCACUCGGUUGCGUUCAGGCCAGCAUCGGUUUUGGUGGUGGGAUAAAGGCCUUAGGAAUGUAGCUGCUUUCGGGCAGUGUUAUAGCCUAGGGUGCAAUGCCGCCUACUGGGACCGAGGACCGCGCUUCGGCUAGGAUGCUGGCGUAAUGGUUGUAAGCGACCCGUCUUGAAACACGGACCAAGGAGUCUAACAUCUAUGCGAGUGUUUGGGUGUCAAACCCAUACGCGUAAUGAAAGUGAACGGAGGUCAGAACCCUUAAGGGUGCAUGAUCGACCGGUCCUGAAGUCUUCGGAUGGAUCUGAGUAAGAGCAUAGCUGUUGGGACCCGAAAGAUGGUGAACUAUGCCUGAAUAGGGUGAAGCCAGAGGAAACUCUGGUGGAGGCUCGCAGCGGUUCUGACGUGCAAAUCGAUCGUCAAAUUUGGGUAUAGGGGCGAAAGACUAAUCGAACCAUCUAGUAGCUGGUUC
rnacentral:rRNA from 1 species